GACGAACGCUGGCGGCGCGCUUAACACAUGCAGGUCGAACGGAAAGGCCUGCUUUCCCUUGUGGAUUGCGGGUACUCGAGUGGCGAACGGGUGAGUAACACGUGAGUGAUCUGCCCCCAACUUGGGUAUAAGCCUGGGAAACUGGGUCUAAUUCCCGAUAGGACUGCAGGGUGGUGCCUGUGGUGGAAAACGAUUUUCUAGUGGUUGGGGAUGAGCUCGCGGCCUAUCAGCUUGUUGGUGGGGUAAUGGCCUACCAAGGCGGCGACGGGUAGCCGGCCUGAGAGGGUGGACGGCCACAUUGGGACUGAGAUACGGCCCAGACUCCUACGGGAGGCAGCAGUGGGGAAUAUUGCACAAUGGGCGGAAGCCUGAUGCAGCGACGCCGCGUGGGGGAUGACGGCCUUCGGGUUGUAAACUCCUUUCGACCGCGAGGAAGCCACCUGGUUGGAAGGGUGGUGACGGUAGUGGUAGAAGAAGCACCGGCUAACUACGUG
rnacentral:rRNA from 1 species